AAUUAUUAAUUAUAUAUGUAAAAGUAUGAAUCAUCGCGGUUUCUUCCAUUUUAUAUGUUAACAAAUAAAGUAUCACUUUGAAUAGGUAUAUGGAUAUAGAAUGUCACUUUGGGCAGAGCACCUUGGAUGCAUCGAGAAUUGCUUCAAAGAUCCCCAGAAUUUGGAAUGUGUGAAGUACAUAAAUAAUGUUGCUGAAGAUAACUGGAAGAAAUACACAGCUGAGGAGUACAGUCCGCUACAAGGGCACAUUCUUAAAUAUCCAGUGAAAAUCGAAGCUGAUGGAAAAAUAAACCCAUUGCCUGGACACAAUUUAUUUCCAGAUGUUGGUGGUCGAGUGCUAGGGAGUAUGACCAUUCUGCCUGAUGUAAUCACUACUUAAGUAUACUCUAGAUUUAAUUUCAUUAUUUAAAUCAUUUUCGAUCGAUAUGAAUGAAGUUCAUCAACAAUAAUUGAAUCUCUUUAUUA